rnacentral:rRNA from 1 species
UACGGAGGGUGCGAGCGUUGUCCGGAAUCACUGGGCGUAAAGGGCGCGUAGGCGGCCUGAUAAGUAGGGGGGUGAAAUCUUGCGGCUUAACCGCAAGGCUGCCUUCUAAACUGUCGGGCUCGAGCACAGUAGAGGCAGGUGGAAUUCCCGGUGUAGCGGUGGAAUGCGUAGAGAUCGGGAAGAACAUCAGUGGCGAAGGCGGCCUGCUGGGCUGUUGCUGACGCUGAGGCGCGACAGCGUGGGGAGCAAACAGG